CCCACGACACUAUUUGGUCGCACACGACCCCUGUCCUUUCCCCGGGCCUUCCCCGGAGAGACUUCCACGCAUCAACAGGUCGGGGAGGAAACCCUCGAGCUCGAGAGGCGACCGACUGGAUCCACGCCUCCACCCCUCCCAAGAUUCUCCCUCGGACGACCGGCGGCGCCGCCGCGAAGGGCUGCGCCUCAACGCUCGUGCCCUCCGGCGACAUCGACGGCCCCGGCUGUCGUCGUCCUCCAUCCUCCGAGCUCAACUCAGUCACGAAGCUCUUCUUCCCUAGGGCGACGCCGGCGGCGACAGCGACAGCGUGGCAUUCCUCCUCCUACUGCGACCAAGGUUAUCCCCAUUCUCCUCUCCCCCCUCGUCUGUAGUUUGCUUCUCCGUGUUGAUGCCUUCCUCCCUUCGCCAUGUGCAGUCUUACUGCUCCAGAUCCACAGGCAACCUCUGACUCUGCUUUCUUGCUGCAUCUGUAGUGACUUUGGCAGUUGUAGAUCAGUAGAGGUAGGUGUCUCUCGAUUAGAUCAAACACUUCAACCAGGACCAGGCCAUCUCAAUUUGUUAUGUCGGGCUUAUGAUAUAUAGAUUCUAACAUUCUUUGGCCCGUUGGACUUUUGACGGGAGAUAAAAGCUCCCACUCUUGGCAUUAUUUAUUUAUUUAUUUUUGAGAAUCUGUUGGCAUUCUUCUCAAAUAUCGUACUUUUACAAAAUAUAUAAAUUCAUAUACAUGUGGUCUCUUCUAACAAAGUUAACAGAGAAAAUACAAUGAUAUUCUACAUGAUGUUGACAAUGUAUAAUAUACUUCUGCAAUUUAACAUCAGUUUUAAGCCGAAGAAAAUUACUUCAUGUUUCGUGGUGGUCUAAAUAUUGCGGCUAGUGUGCUCAUAUGCUGAACUUAAUACGCAGUUUAAUCCUUCGAUUCAUAUAUCUAGCUAUGCUUAGUCUCAGAUUUGGGUUCCUGAACAAUCUUGUGAUGUUAUGUACCAGAUCUUGAAAGCAAACUUUCUAAUUUAUUUACUUUGCCCCAUUCUUGCCAAGUUACUGCUUCUUAAAUCGGCCACAUGCCUAGUGUGUUUGUGCUAAACUAGAUACAUGCCUAUUGUCUCUGUAUAUAUACAGUCAUGCAAAGAAUACAAUGUGGUCUGAAAAAUAACACAUGGAAGGGGCUAGCCUUGUCCUAAUUUUAACUCUGAAUCUUUAGGAUAACCUGAAGUUUGCUUGUCUUGCCUAUAAUAAUAGUGUAUCCAAUUAAUUGCGUAGAAGUAUUAGCUAUUGUAAUUUAAUUUCACUGGUGAAAGUAGGGUAUCUAGUUUUUUUGGCAGGGAGUACUAGUAUUAAUUAAGCUAACAGUUCAAUUUAACCAUCGAGAACGUUGAAAAUUAAUCCCAUUCAAGUUGUUCCCUCCUGUACUAGGCAAUUGAACCAUGGUUUAUUUUAUUUCAAGCCUAUUAUGUUUGAGCAUAGGCAAAAAAAUUCAGGUAGUAUGUUAGAGCAUCUACAACCAGAAUUGCCUAAUAUGAGUCCCUAAUACAAGUCGAACGAUAAAUUUAGAGCAUAGUUCAUUCCCAAUCGGACCCAAAAGACAUUGUUCUUCGGAUUACUACAAAGAAAGUAAAACUAGAUAAAAUGUAAAGCACGGAGCGGGACUGGAGGUGCUGGCGCCGGAGGGGAAGGGACACACCCUCCCUGCUCCGGAUCUUGAGCGGCGUGGAGUGGGACUGGAGGUGCUGGCGCCGGAGGGGAAGGGACACAUCCUCCCUGCCCCGGAUCUUGAGCGGCGCAGGGCGGGGCGGGCGGGCGACCACGGCCCGCAUUUUGCCGGCGGGAGGUGGAGGAGCUAGCAGACGCGACGGGGCUUGUGCUCCCACCGAUGUCCAAGCGCGAGCGCUUGAUGGCGAUGCAGAGCGCGGGCUCCUCCUCGUCCGGCACGCCACUGCUAGAUCCGUCCUCCUCCUUCAUGAGACCGUUCCAAUCCAUGGGAUCGGGCUCGCUGCCAGAAUCCUUACCGGACUUGGCCAUGGCGGAGGGGAGGAGAUGGAUUUGGGAGGAAGCGGAGGCGAUGAGGGAGGCGGAUAAGACGAGUGUGGACUGAGAAAGUGAGGGUAUGACUAGGGUUCGUCCGACGGCGGUGGGGUAUUUGUGGGGUCAUCGGUGGGGGCGGCGCAGGUCCUAGCCAACCGAUCCGAUGUGGCGCCCGCGUCUGGUCGCGUCCGGGUGUCCCCAUAUCCGCCCGGCAGCAGCGUGCCUGUCUCCCUGUACCUCUGGCAGACCUCGGCCUUGACUUACGGACAUAACAUUAAACGUGCGGUCUAUACGGACAGACGCGAGCAGGAUGUGGUCGUGCGUUGGAGUUGGCCUCAUCCAUUAUCUCUGUCCAUUUUACACUUUUCUCAUAAUAACUGUCCAUUAUUAUGUUUAUAUCUACUCCUUUCGGAAACAUACUUGUAAGUAAAAAAAAGAUGUGCUUAUAUCUAGUUUCAAAUUUUAUAUUGUAUAGUAACUACAUUGUUCGUUUUUGAUUUGCAGGUUUCCUAAAGCUAGCAAAUGAAAAUGUUUAAAGAAGUUAAUGGUGAAAGCUUCAGACUCUUCCAACAGCAGAACAUUUUGACAUGGGGCAGUCACAUAUAGGCAUCUUUUUAAUGAACUGAAUGUUAAUUAUUGCUUGAUAUCUAACUGUAGUUAGUAUUUGUGAUGGUAAGACCAUGAUUAAACACAUUAAUAUCCUUGGUGCAGUGUUACUCGUGCAAAUUUGACAUGUAUAGCUUAUGGUCAACGUGUAUGAUUGGGUUGAAUUAUUUUGCUGUUGUGUUGAUUAUGUGUAUAUUUCAUGUUUCCUACUUUUCUUUGAAAUUCCUGAAUUAUUCUCAAUUUUCUCAAGAAAUUUGUGUCAUUCCUGAAUUUUCUGGAUUUGUAAGGAAAUAUAUAUGCAUUUUAAUUAAUUCUGAACUGAAAUGAUGCUUGUGUAAAAAGAACCAGGGUUUGUUUACAUGUUUUCUGGACAUUCUAAUUUUUCCCAAGAAAUUUG
rnacentral:lncRNA from 1 species